UGGUGAUUUGACAAGUAGGCUUGGGGCAGAUUGUCAACAAGUGUCUCGUGUAAUUGGAAAUGACCUAAAUCUAAUUUUACGCAAUGUUCUCCAGGGAACAGGUGCUUUAGUUUAUUUGUUGAUUUUGUCCUGGCCACUAGGAUUGUGCACAUUCGCUAUCUGCUGUGCACUAUUCACGAUAAUGCUAUUAUAUGGCCAAUACCAGAAGAAAGCAGCUAAG
rnacentral:misc_RNA from 1 species